rnacentral:rRNA from 1 species
AUACGGAGGGAGCGAGCGUUAAUCGGAAUUACUGGGCGUAAAGCGCGCGUAGGCGGCUUUGUAAGUCGGAUGUGAAAGCCCUGGGCUUAACCUGGGAAUGGCAUUCGAUACUGCAUGGCUAGAGUAUGGUAGAGGGAAGUGGAAUUUCCGGUGUAGCGGUGAAAUGCGUAGAUAUCGGAAGGAACACCAGUGGCGAAGGCGACUUCCUGGGCCAAUACUGACGCUGAGGUGCGAAAGCGUGGGGAGCAAACAGGAUUAGAAACCCCGGUAGUCC